rnacentral:rRNA from 1 species
UACGAAGGGGGCUAGCGUUGCUCGGAAUCACUGGGCGUAAAGCGCACGUAGGCGGCUUUCUAAGUCAGGGGUGAAAUCCUGGAGCUCAACUCCAGAACUGCCUUUGAUACUGGGGAGCUCGAGUCCGGAAGAGGUGAGUGGAACUCCGAGUGUAGAGGUGAAAUUCGUAGAUAUCGGGAGGAACACCAGUGGCGAAGGCGGCGACCUGGACGGACACUGACGCUGAGACGCGAAAGCGUGGGGAGCAAACAGG